UACGUAGGGGGCUAGCGUUGUCCGGAAUCAUUGGGCGUAAAGCGCGUGUAGGCGGUCCGGUAAGUCUGCUGUGAAAGUCGGGGGCUCAACCCUCGGAAGCCGGUGGAUACUGCUGGGCUAGAGUGCGGAAGAGGCGAGUGGAAUUCCCUGGUGUAGCGGUGAAAUGCGCAGAUAUCAGGAGGAACACCUAUGGCGAAGGCAGCUCGCUGGGACGGCGACUGACGCUGAGACGCGAAAAGCGUGGGGGAGCGAACAGG
rnacentral:rRNA from 1 species